UACCCGCAGCCCGAGUGGUGAUCGUUAUUAUUGAGCCUAAAGCGUCCGUAGCUGGUCCGUUAAAUCCUUGGGUAAAUCGGGUAGCUCAACUAUUCGAAUUCCGAGAAGACUGGCGGGCUUGGGACUGGGAGAGGUCAGAGGUACUCCUGGGGUAGGGGCUAAAUCCUGUAAUCCUAGGGGGACCACCAGUGGCGAAGGCGUCUGACUAGAACAGAUCCGACAGUAAGGGACGAAGCCCUGGGUCGCAAACCGGAUUAGAUACCCGGGUAGUCCAGGGUGUAAACGCUGCAGGCUUGGUGUUGGGGACCCUACGAGGGUGCCCAGUGCCGGAGAGAAGUUGUUAAGCCUGCCGCUUGGGGAGUACGCUCGCAAGAGUGAAACUUAAAGGAAUUGGCGGGGGAGCACUGCAACGGGAGGAGAGUGCGGUUC
rnacentral:rRNA from 1 species